GAUGAACGCUGGCGGCGUGCUUAACACAUGCAAGUCGAACGAAGCAUUUUAAACAGAUUAUUUCGGUAUGAAGUUUUUAAUGACUGAGUGGCGGACGGGUGAGUAACGCGUGGGUAACCUGCCUUAUACAGGGGGAUAGCAGCUGGAAACGGCUGGUAAUACCGCAUAAGCGCACAGCAUCGCAUGAUGAAGUGUGAAAAACUGAGGUGGUAUAAGAUGGACCCGCGUCUGAUUAGCUAGUUGGUGAGAUAACAGCCCACAAGGCGACGAUCAGUAGCCGACCUGAGAGGGUGACCGGCCACAUUGGGACUGAGACACGGCCCAGACUCCUACGGGAGGCAGCAGUGGGGAAUAUUGUACAAUGGGCGAAAGCCUGAUGCAGCGACGCCGCGUGAGCGAAGAAGUAUUUCGGUAUGUAAAGCUCUAUCAGCAGGGAAGAAGAAUGACGGUACCUGACUAAGAAGCACCGGCUAAAUACGU
rnacentral:rRNA from 1 species